AGGGGUAUAGCUCAAUUGGCAGAGCAGCGGUUUCCAAAACCGCAUGCCGAGGGUUCGAUUCCUUCUGCCCCUGCCA
rnacentral:tRNA from 1 species